CAGCCGAAACUGCGCCUGCGCGCCGGGCUUCCUGGCUGCCAGGAGUUACUGCAUUGAAGUAAGAGUGGCACAGUGCUGCACCUUGUGAACGAAGAGAUGUUUCCUUUCCGAGAUGAUUAUUUUACUUCAGUGGCUUCUUGGAUCCUAGAAGGGGCAAAAAUGACUAGUUUCUGGGGCAUCAUGUGGGAUCUUAAUUCCCCAACUGAGGAUUGAACCUGCACCCCCUGUAGUGGGGGCACAGAGUCUUAACCACUGGACUGCCAGGGAAGUCCCUGUAUAUUCUUCAAGGUCUUACAGGAUUCCAGGCUAGUGCUGCUUGGUCCUGCUCAGCCUCAGUCCUUGGUCCUAAUCUCUGUGUCAGCCCAGCCAUGACACUCUUCUGCCCUUCUCUUAUCCUGGUUUCCUCGGUGAUGUUGAGCCCAAGUGCACUCCCUAAAAAACCUCCUGCCAACUAAUCUCCCAGUGAGUCUGCUUCCAAGGGAAUUCAACCUGUGACAAUGCUCAACAUCAAUAAUCAUCAGGAAAAUGCAAAUUAAAACCAUAAGGCGAUGCCAUUUUACAUCCACUAGAAGGGCUAAAAAAAGACAACACCAAACGUUGGUGAAGAUGUGGAAAAACUGGAACCCUCAUAUAGUGCUGGUGGGCCUGUAAAAAGGUACCACCAUGUUGGAGAAUUGUUUGGCUAUUUCUUAUAAAAUUAAAUAUAUAUUUAACCCAUGACACAGCAAUUCCAUUCUUAAGUAUGUAGCCAAGAGAAAUGAAGACAUAUUUGUAUAAAAUUGAAUAAGAAUACUCAUAGGUAGCCUUAGUUAUAGUAGCUCAAAACUGGAAAUAAUACAAAUGUCCAUCAAUAAGAGAAGGAAUAAAUAAAUUACAGUCCUACCAUACUACUCAGCAAUAUAAAGGAAUGGAAUACUGAUACACACAACAUGUGUAGAUUAAAAACAUUAUGUUGGGGCUUCCCUGGUAGCAUAGUGGUUAAGAAUCCACCUGUCAAUGCAGGGGGCAUGGGUUCAAGCCCUGGUCGUGGAAGAUCCCACAUGCCGCGGAGCAGCUAAGCCCGUGCACCACAACUACUGA